GCUCAGGACGAACGCUGGCGGCGUGCCUAAUACAUGCAAGUAGAACGCUGAAGAGAGGAGCUUGCUCUUCUUGGAUGAGUUGCGAACGGGUGAGUAACGCGUAGGUAACCUGCCUUGUAGCGGGGGAUAACUAUUGGAAACGAUAGCUAAUACCGCAUAACAAUGGAUGACACAUGUCAUUUAUUUGAAAGGGGCAAUUGCUCCACUACAAGAUGGACCUGCGUUGUAUUAGCUAGUAGGUGAGGUAAUGGCUCACCUAGGCGACGAUACAUAGCCGACCUGAGAGGGUGAUCGGCCACACUGGGACUGAGACACGGCCCAGACUCCUACGGGAGGCAGCAGUAGGGAAUCUUCGGCAAUGGGGGCAACCCUGACCGAGCAACGCCGCGUGAGUGAAGAAGGUUUUCGGAUCGUAAAGCUCUGUUGUAAGUCAAGAACGGGUGUGAGAGUGGAAAGUUCACACUGUGACGGUAGCUUACCAGAAAGGGACGGCUAACUACGUGCCAGCAGCCGCGGUAAUACGUAGGUCCCGAGCGUUGUCCGGAUUUAUUGGGCGUAAAGCGAGCGCAGGCGGUUUGAUAAGUCUGAAGUUAAAGGCUGUGGCUCAACCAUAGUUCGCUUUGGAAACUGUCAAACUUGAGUGCAGAAGGGGAGAGUGGAAUUCCAUGUGUAGCGGUGAAAUGCGUAGAUAUAUGGAGGAACACCGGUGGCGAAAGCGGCUCUCUGGUCUGUAACUGACGCUGAGGCUCGAAAGCGUGGGGAGCGAACAGGAUUAGAUACCCUGGUAGUCCACGCCGUAAACGAUGAGUGCUAGGUGUUGGAUCCUUUCCGGGAUUCAGUGCCGCAGCUAACGCAUUAAGCACUCCGCCUGGGGAGUACGACCGCAAGGUUGAAACUCAAAAGGAAUUGACGGGGGCCCGCACAAGCGGUGGAGCAUGUGGUUUAAUUCGAAGCAACGCGAAGAACCUUACCAGGUCUUGACAUCCCGAUGCUAUUUCUAGAGAUAGAAAGUUACUUCGGUACAUCGGUGACAGGUGGUGCAUGGUUGUCGUCAGCUCGUGUCGUGAGAUGUUGGGUUAAGUCCCGCAACGAGCGCAACCCCUAUUGUUAGUUGCCAUCAUUCAGUUGGGCACUCUAGCGAGACUGCCGGUAAUAAACCGGAGGAAGGUGGGGAUGACGUCAAAUCAUCAUGCCCCUUAUGACCUGGGCUACACACGUGCUACAAUGGUUGGUACAACGAGUUGCGAGUCGGUGACGGCGAGCUAAUCUCUUAAAGCCAAUCUCAGUUCGGAUUGUAGGCUGCAACUCGCCUACAUGAAGUCGGAAUCGCUAGUAAUCGCGGAUCAGCACGCCGCGGUGAAUACGUUCCCGGGCCUUGUACACACCGCCCGUCACACCACGAGAGUUUGUAACACCCGAAGUCGGUGAGGUAACCUUUUGGAGCCAGCCGCCUAAGGUGGGACAGAUGAUUGGGGUGAAGUCGUAACAAGGUAGCCGUAUCGGAAGGUGCGGCUGGAUCACCUCCUUU
rnacentral:rRNA from 1 species